rnacentral:lncRNA from 1 species
CAUCAGCUUCAGUGGCUCCUCAUCCAAGCUGAGUUUGUCUGGCUCCCUCCUGUGUGAGGCUUGUGUCUGCAUGCAGUCCCAGCCGUUGAGUUCAUUCGUGCAGUCGUGCUGACAUCUCUGAAGACCUCUGAAAAUCUCUCCUCCCCUGCCUUUGAUGAAGUUGCUGCCACAUGAGGUGUGCCCAUCUGCAGGAAGUGGAGGAAGGACCCCAGCCAGUUAACCAGCAAGCACAUGAUUGACAGCCUCGGACCAAAAGCCUUGAGGAGCGAACCUGGCCAGAGUUCCAUGAGAGAAUCUGGAAAGGGGUUGUUCCCCAAUCAAGCCUUCCAAUUUCAGCCUUGCCAAAGAACCCCCAAGGCAGAGAAUGCAGGGUUCACAGAGCCUGAGACAAGGGACCAAUAAAGUUAAGGUGCCCAUAACACCAGU